CUAGGCUACCCGAGUCUAAGCUGCUCACCGAUGCGUGUACUCUUCUACUAUUCUACUACUUAAUUAACUGGCCGUCGCGUUAUUAACAUCGAGUGAAACCUUCCGCGGGUUUCACGGGGAAAGCGCAACGUAUCCAACGGUUUUCCACAUGAUUUUUUAAUAUUUAAAGAAUACAGGAAAGCCGUUAUCGCCGACAAAUUCCUCGAUCAAUCGAAGAACGAUACCGUGAAAGUUGCCUCCAGAGUCAUCCUGAUGGAACCUGCGCCGAAAUCGGAAAACAUCAUAUGAAAAGAAAGUUCUUCGAAAUUGAAGUGUUCAUAUGAAAGGGAAGUUCUUCGAAAUUAAAGAGUUCAUAUGAAAGGGAAGUUCUUCAAAAUUAAAAACUUCAUAUGAGAUGGAAGUUCUUCUAAAUCGAAAAUUUCAUAUGAAAGGGAAGUUCUUCGAAAUCGAAAAUUUCAUAUGAAAGGGAAGUUCUUCGAAAUCGGAAAGUUCAUACGAAAGGGAAGUUAUUCGAAAUCAAGAAUUUCAUAUGAAAGGGAAGUUCUUCGAAAUCGAAAACUUCAUAUGAAAGGGAAGUUCUUCGAAAUCGAAAAUUUCAUAUGAAAGGGAAGUUCUUCGAAAUCGAAAACUUCAUAUGAAAAGGGAAGUUCUUUGAAAUCGAAAACUUCAUAUGAAAAGGAAGAUCUUCGAAAUCGAAGAGUCUCAACAAAAACGAACGAGUUGUGAUUAGACAUUUGUGAAAUCACGUGUAAAUAUAAAUAAUAAAAAUGGAAAAGUAGA